UAAUACGGAGGAUCCAAGCGUUGUCCGGAUUUAUUGGGUUUAAAGGGUGCGUAGGCGGGUUAUUAAGUCAGUGGUGAAAGCCGGCAGCUCAACUGUCGAACUGCCAUUGAAACUGAUAGCCUAGAAUCUAGUAGAGGUAGGCGGAAUGUAUCAUGUAGCGGUGAAAUGCUUAGAUAUGAUACAGAACACCAAUUGCGAAAGCAGCUUACUAUGCUAGUAUUGACGCUGAGGCACGAAAGCGUGGGGAUCAAACAGGAUUAGAUACCCUGGUAGUCCACGCUGUAAACGUUGAAUACUCGAUGUUGGCGAUACACUGUCAGCGUCCAAGAGAAAUCGUUAAGUAUUCCACCUGGGGAGUACGCUCGCAAGAGUG
rnacentral:rRNA from 1 species